UAGAUAUGGUGGAGGAGCCUGGAGAGGCGUACGAGACCGCCGAGUUGCUCAACCCUGACUUGGAUGCCGCUCACCAGUCGUUCAUGUCUACCGUACGGGGUAUCAACCUCGGCACACUUCGCGCACAUGUGCCAUUGUAGACGAUGUUGAUCAACGCUCGUUAGAUUCCGAGUUACGCGCAGCGGGGCUCCUCCCAAUUGCGAGGUUGGUUGAGGGAGAUAUGAUAGACCCAGGAUUGAAGCAAGUGGAUAAGGCAACACGUUUCCACUUUGACAUAUCACUCCUAGAAGCUCUUAUUGACCAUUGGCGGCCCGAGACUCACACGUUCCACCUCACAGUCGGUAAGAUGGUCCCUACACUUCCAGACGUGUUGAACCUGCUGGGCUUGCCUUGUGCCGGCAUGGCCGAUGGUGCGCAGGAUGUACCAGUUACUUUGCGUGAGGACCUUUUGGACCGGUUUGCCCACGUUCCAUGGACCGACCGGGCCUUACCGUACCGCACCUUCAGCUCAAUACACGGACCCACGAAGAAGUGGCUCAUGCAGUUCAGUGAAGACUACAUGAGAACCAACACCGACGACGCCACAAUUGCGAGGCACUUGGAGGCAUACUUACUGUGGUUGUUUGGGUGGAUCAUGUUCUGCACCUCACAGGGGAACUCGGCUCCUUUUGCGAGGGCUAUAGUGAAGGCCCUGCUUGAUGAGGUACCACAGUACAACUGGGGUUCUGCUAUGUUGGCAGCUACCUAUAGGGGGCUUUGCACGGGCUGCACUAAGGUAAACUCGACCGAGCCCAUCUUUGUUGGUUGCCUGUUGCUUCUUCAGCUUUGGUCAUACGAGCACUUCCCGGUGGGUUGGCCAUAGAUUGACGUGGCACCCUACCAGCAGUUGCCUCUCGACCACGACGAUGAUGAUAGACCCACGAUGGGGUCCAUGUGGUGCUUGAGAAAGCCAUCAUGGGUUGGAGUUCAGAUGAAGAAGUCGUACCCAGACUUUGUCGGGCAGUUUGACGCUCUUGUCGACACCGACGUCAUGUGGACAUG